CCCCAGUUAUUUUUUUAUCCAAGCACCCUGUUCUUAUCCUUCAAACGAUGAUUGCAAUUAGGUACACACUAUUUGUUUCCUUUUGCGUGGGGCUAGGUCUGUCUUGUUCCCUCCUGUGUUCCUCAGUCUGGCACAGGUUGCAUGUUCUUAAGUAUCUGCUGAACGAACAGAUGAAUGGGGGAGACGUUACUGGUCUUUGCUCCUCUAAUGCUGCCCCCAACCCCCGAUGUCAUGUCUCGACAUGUCUGAUUUCCUGAGAGUGGCUUACGUGCCUGGCAUGGUACUGAGCCUUCUAUGAAGCAGCCCUCUGAGGGAGGGAUCCCUAGAUCGUACAUUCACAGAUGCGGCAGCUGAGGCUCAGAGAGGUGAAGCGACAGGCCCCGGGUCACACAGCAUCGAGGGGGCAAGUCAGGAUGUGAUUGCAGUUGCUCCGACCCCAGGCCCGUGCCCUGAGUCUCUGCACAGCCAUCCUGAGAUUCCGAAGUGGGUCCCCAUCAUGUCCCGGCUCUCCCCACUUCAGAAGCAGGACCUUGAAAAUUUCAAGGGGCCCCAGAUACCCCCCCGGAUGGCGUCCUGACUCAGGGCAGACCUGCCUCCCGGGCUCCGCGUUAUGUUCCGCUCUUUCUCAUUGCCUCCCAAAUUAGUUCCACGUUCAGCCCGGGGCCUGUGGAUUCCACUUGUUUUCUGUAACUGGAGCUCCCCCAGUGCUUGGCACCAAGCUCGGUGACUCUGCGUCGGCUCAGGUUCCUGAUUUCCUUGGACAAUUUCAAAUGAUUUCACUGGCAGGGAAAAGCCCAGCCGGGGGUCAGUGAGCAGAUCACUCCCCUUUCCCGUAAUCAGGUGUCCUGACACACAUGUGACCUGGCG
rnacentral:lncRNA from 10 species